UACGUAGGGCGCAAGCGUUAUCCGGAAUUAUUGGGCGUAAAGAGCUCGUAGGCGGUUUGUCGCGUCUGCCGUGAAAAGUCCGGGGCUCAACUCCGGAUCUGCGGUGGGUACGGGGCAGACUAGAGUGAUGUAGGGGGAGACUGGAAUUCCUGGUGUAGCGGGUGAAAUGCGCAGAUAUCAGGAGGAACACCGAUGGCGAAGGCAGGUCUCUGGGCCACUACUGACGCUGAGAAGCGAAAGCAUGGGGAGCGAACAGG
rnacentral:rRNA from 1 species